AGGACACUGAAAAUGUAGAUUGUCCGUGUCUCCUUAUUCAUCCUGUUUUCAGAUCUGGAUGCGGAUGAAUUCGGGAAGAGUUAGUGAGGAUGGUGACACCUCUAAUUGAAAAGGAAGACAGUAAUGAGGGAAGAAAUCAGCCCAGCACAGCGAUGGUCUGUCACCUUGAGAUUUUUGGCAUCCGGGGAGACAUUCAUCUCCCUGUCCUUCAUGUUCAUAAUCAACCGGCAAGCCAUUUCUUAAAUAGUUAUGGAAACAUUCCAAGCCUUAUACAAAGUGCUAAAAGGUAGUUAGCUAUCUGUCAGUGCCAUCUGCAGAGGCAGAGUGUGAGAUUGUCGCAAAGAAGUUUGAGGAGCUUUGGCAAUUUCCACACUUCAUAGGAUCUUUGGACUGGAAACAUGUCAACAUCCAACACCCCAAGCACAGUGGAUUCCAGUACCACAAUUACAAGGGCAACCACUCCAUUGAAAUAAUGUCUCUGUGGAUGCAGACCUCAAAUUUACCUAUGUCGAUGGUAGAGUGAGUGAUGGGGAGUCUGGAACAAGUGUUCCCUCAGCAAGGCACUACAAUACAGGUCCCUAAAAAUCCCUCCGCCAUCUGCCUUCCCAUCACAGAGUACACCUGUCCCCUAUAUGGUUGUAGCCGGGGCUUUUGGCUUGAAGAAGAACAUCAUGGAAGCCAUACCCAAAGGGCCAACUGACCACAGAGACCACAAUCUUCAACUAUAGGUGAUACUGUAUUUCUUAAAAAUCUUGGUAAUUACGCAAUAGAAGAGAGGCCCCCAUUGAGCGUCAAUGCUGGAAACUACCAUUUCCAAAGGGCCAAGGAAUUUCGGUAAGAGUUCUGUGACUUCUUCAACUCAGAAGCUGGAGAUGAUAGCUUGCAGCAUGGCUGUUACCACUGAACAAUAUCAUAGGCCAUGGAAUAUCACUCUGCUAUUGGUCUGGAUGGAUAGAUAAUUAGAAUCAUGAUUUUAAUAAAGAAACAAUAAAACCCCA